rnacentral:rRNA from 1 species
UACGUAGGAGGCGAGCGUUGUCCGGAAUCACUGGGUGUAAAGCGCGUGUAGGCGGCCUGCCAAGUCUGCUGUGAAAGCGCCUGGCUUAACCGGGCGAGGUCGGUGGAAACUGGCGGGCUGGAGGACGGUAGAGGGGGGUGGAAUUCCCGGUGUAGUGGUGAAAUGCGUAGAGAUCGGGAGGAACACCAGUGGCGAAGGCGGCCCCCUGGACCGUUCCUGACGCUGAGACGCGAAGGCGCGGGGAGCGAACGGG